CUCCCCAAUCGGCUUCGUCCCCUCUUCCUUUUCACUCGAGGGAGCCGCCGCCGCCCCCUCCCAUUCCAAACUCCUCUCUUCCCCGCCUCCCCUCGCCCUGCCGGCCAUCCUCCCCGUCCUCCGCCGCCACCGACCAGCCGCAACCGCCGCGCUACCAUCCCCUCCCUGUUCCUCUCCCGUGGCAAGUCCUCCGAGAAGCAGCCCAAGGGCAGCCGCCUGCCGCUCGGUGGCCGGACGCCGAGAAGCGCCGCUGCUUUGGCUCCGCCGUCUCCUUCGCCCUGCCUGCCGGAUCCACGCCGUCGUCCUCGCGUGCACACGGCAGGUGCUCCGCCUCUUACUCUCGUUCGGCCAGAUCCACGGUGCACGGCCUCUCGCGCUCGCUCGCGACCCUGAGCCGUGGCAAGGGUUUCAGGCUGGGCAUCGGCUUCGUCGCCGGCGCGGCUCCGGUGGAUUCAGGCGGCUCCUCUCCGUCUCCUCUCUCGCCCCCACGCGCGGCUCCGCUUCCCGCUGGCCAUGAGAUUGUGGCGAGGUUGAGCGUAUGGAGCAGAGGGACCAGGGCCGGCCGAUGGCUUGUUUCCUCUAUACGUACUUGAUGGUUAGCCCAUGUAGCAGAUCGACUGAUUCUGAGAAAGGAAAAAAAUGGUAACAGAUCGACUAAUUCUUGGCUUGCUGCAUGCGCGUGAUCUUCUCUGGUUUCUCUUCCCCAAUUGGCAACGAACCAGCCAUGCCAAGGUCAACGGCGCCUUGUCCACACCGUCUAAUUGCGAUUUCCGGCUGUUGGGUGUGAUUAGUGCAGGAAGAUCCGUUGCUGCUACAGAACCCAACUCCUGAGCACGUCGGAGUUGAGCAAGAAGACAGGAGGAGGUGUCGAGGAGGAAGAGGCCCCUCUUCCUUUUUGGUCCACGCCGCUACGAAAGUGAUAUUAGGUGAACUUGUUAUACUCUUUCUGGUUCAAUGGAACUUACCUACGCACAUUAGGGGUUUUACUUUAGCUGGUGAGUGUUUGUGAGCGAGAUGGCUGUCGCUUCCGCAUGGAUCCACCUCCUAGCCGUUGACCACUUCAUUGGAAGGCACGUGUAACCUUGAUGGGCAAAUAUGGUGAAGACUUGAAGUUGAUAUACUAAUGUGGUAUAUGAAGCUAUGUUCAAGGGCGUCACACAGGUCGGCUUGCAAUGUUGAGCAGAUCACCAUGUUAAAAGAUGGGCAUUUAGAGAAGUGUGUGCUCGCCAAGGAUCCAAUGGGUUUCUGAAGAGUUGGCUGCACAUCGUUGGUGUCCGAUGCACUAUCAGGUAUACAUGAGGUCCGCUCUUGGUUUUACCUUGGUCUUGUAGUUAGCAAAUCAAUUUUUUUUGGAAUGUUCGACUUUAAUUACAUUUAGAUAGUCUUUCACCCAUCCAUAUCUUUGAGAUUUGAGACCAGGGUGCACGCCACAAAUAUGUCAACCAUGAUGUCAGGGGCCCCUUAAUUUCCUCUUCCUUUUGGGUGUGAGCAUCGUUGAUUGCUAAUAGCAAAGAAAUUAAAAAAGAAGAAGAAUAUAAAAGUAACUUCAUUUUUUACAUGGCUUGAUUUAAAUUUUUGUGUACAUGUUCUUUGAUGAGAUAGUCUCCUAUGUCUGUCAGGUCCAGUACUAGAUUUUUUUUGACUCAGAACCAACAACCCCAAUUUAAAUGAAAUAUAGAUACACACAAUAUUUGUAAGCUACUACGGGAAUUUAGAGGUGGUCAUAGAUAUCUUGGUCAACCCAAAUAGAUAAAGAACACACAUGAAUCCAGGCUUGUGCUCUGUUUUGUAUUUCUCAUGUACGAGCAGAGUCUGUGUGUAUAUGUUGUAAGCUAGAACAAUUUAUACACACCAGAACCUAUCUGUGUAUGAGCAGAGUCAGUGUGUAUAUGUUGUAAGCUAGAACGGGUUGUAUCCACCAAAACCUCUAUAUGUGUGCCUGUACUCCUGUCAUGCAUGGAUUUUUUAUCAGACAAGAUUAUUUUUUUCAAAUGUAUAAUCCUAUUUUUCUCAGAUAUAUAUUUCUUCUUGUUCAUUCUUUUCGGCUUAAAGCACGAAUAAUCAGAAUAUACCUGUAGUGUUUGUACUAUAUGCAUACACUUUAGCUCAAAAUAAUAAUGCACUUCCUAUUACUUGCUCUGUUUUGUUAAAAUGUACGUACAUCAGUUGGUUAAUUGGCCAGGAAAUUUUGCUCUGGUGAUUGCAAAAUUAUAGUGGCUAGCUGGGACACCUAAUUCCGCCUUUGCAAUUAUAAGCUAUUAAGCUGGUGUAUUUUCUGUUAGAACUACCGGAUAUUCAUGUAACUUGGUUUCUUUUGUGGUACAUGUACCUUAGUUUAAAUAUUGAUUAACUGAUACACACUACUUAUGGUGGUCUUCUAAUCAAAUCACAGCUACAGAGAUUUCCUUGGCGAAGAUCUCCGGACACUCGGGUAAUUUAUUAUUUUCCAUAUGAUCACGAUGUAGAGGCUAGGAGAACUAUCUCCUUUUCAUUAUAUGCAUAAGUAGUGCAGAUUAUUCUGUAGGGAUUAUUUCCUGUUUUAUCGCAUGUUGCUACUCUGUGUUAGGUGAUCAUUAUAGCCAUAUAAUGCCACUAGAUGUAGUGCCAGAUAUCUCCUUUAUUGCUUCAGUUUUAAUUAAUUAGGAAACUGGAGCAGGGUAUUAAGUUGGAUCCCCCCUCGUUUCUUUGAGACCUUCUGAUCAUGUGCUUAUUUUAGUGGCUCUGUCCUUGGAUGGUCAUUUCUGAUGAGUGAUAACCAGGGCAGUUUCACUUCCAGAAACAAGAGAAGAGGGUCUCACCGAGCCUCCUCAGAGCUCAGCGACUUUCGGCCGUCGGAUGCGUUCGCUUGAUGGAGUUUGGGUCGUCGGAUCAAGCCAUCGGACGUACUCUGCCGUCGGAUCUGGAGUAGCACUAUAGGAAUGAAUAGUUACUGCCUCCUCGCGCUGUCGCUUACUCUGUCUGUUCGACCGGGACUAGCUGACGUGUGGGGCCCCUCGCGGGUGGGCUGCGUUUGUCAGUGACCGUGGCCGCGGGUGUGGCAUGUUCGUCCCGUCGCGCGCACCGACGGGUAAAUAUCCCGCGCCACUGCACGUAAUAUCUUGCCCCCACCGAGGGUAUUUCGGUCUUUUCGCGUCCAGGCCUCGUGCGUGGUGGGCGGUGGUUGGCCCGUGCGGCUAUGGAGUGGGGGAGGGCAGCGGCUUGCCUCUUCGUGCUCCCAUUCGCCCCCUUCUCUCUGGGUCUCCUCUCCUCUCGCCGCCGAUGCUCGUGUCAGAGGCUAUUCUUGCUAGGGCGAUGAUGAUUAACUGUGGCUGAAAUAAGUGUGCCUUUGAGCAAUCGAGGCACCUGUGGGUAUCAAGUUGGAUCCUCCCUCUCGUCCCUAAAAUCAUUUUUGGUCAUGUGAUACUUAUGGUUCUGUCCUUGGAUGGUCAUUCUUGUUGAGUGAUAACCAGGGCAGCUCCACUAUGUAAACAGAUUGAUCUGGUGGUAAGAGAUGACGGGGGUAGGUUAUAUGAUCGAGGAAAGGCGAAUCUGAGCCCACUAUGCAAUUAACCCUAAACCCUUUUUCAUUUGUAUUUAAAGUUGUUGCUUAUUUAUGCUCCAGUGUUUAUAGCCGUUUUAAGUAAAGUUUUCUUCUCUCUCAUACCUUUAUUGCAUAUAAGUUGUUCUUGAUCCUUUAUUGUUUCUUGUUGGUCUUUGAUUUAAUCUGGUUAAGAGUAAGUUGCACUUUGUUAUACUAGAAAGACUCACUCCCAACAAGUUAUCGGUUGAAUGACUUGUUUUAAUUCGUUGUGAUACUAUUACUUCUAUUUUUUUGCAAGUUACCAGCUGUAGCUAUUUGUUCAUGCUACAGAAAAUAAUACUAUAGGAUUUUUUGAGAUUUUUCUUGAGAUAAUGCUGGAUUCUUCAUGUAAAGAGUGACCGAGGUAGCAUGUCCCAUUUUGUAUCCAUAAACAUUUUUUUGACUGCUGUGAUUAGGUUGCUGGGUUAAUCCGAGCCAUUGAGCAGACAUUUCCUUUCGUUUUCUUUAGUUUGUUCUGAAGCUUUCCCCAAUUCUGUACGUCACCAGUGCAUUUGUUUGGAUCCUGCAGUUUGAACACUCUUCCAACUAUAGAGUUUAAAAUAUGUUACCUACAUAAAGAGGAGUUAAAUAAGGAUGAACUUACACAGCUUAUCCUUAUUUUAGCCAUAAGAGUAUUUUGUCUAUAGAGCUGAUACUCUGAAACUCUGUUUUUAUUACUGUAUUAUAUUAUGAAGGUUCAAGUAUUUGGGUUCUAGCUCCUGCUUGGAUAUGGUAGAUGCUUAUUCAUUUUCCUACUAGUCUAGCAGGAUUACAUCAUUGAUGUCACUUCCCAACCAAUAUUAAGCUGGCAGUUGUUUAUUUUCUCUUUUGCCUAACACAUCAAAAUCUAGAGCAACACUUUUUGUUGAUUGAUAUUUCCAACAGAUACUGAUUACUUCUCUUUAUUUUAUUGUAUUGUUAGCCAAUUAAAAAGGUUUUGUUGUAGGUGUAUUUUUUUGUAUGGUAUAUAUUAUGCGAGUUAUUUCUAAUGCAUCUUGAUAUUAUCUUAGAAUCAUCUGACUAGAGUCUUGGUCCUUUGAGCUUAGUUAAGUAAAGCAUCUUUUAUAUCAGAUAUCAAAUUAUCUAUACUUGUACUAAGAUAUAAGGUAUCUAACCAGAUUUUCAUUUCUUUAAUGGAGUUUUUAGCACUCAGAUUUAUUUGAAAUAGCUGCUCCUAUAUUUUUGUCAGUGCUUGCUGUACUUAGUUUAAAUGUUUCUUGGUAGGAUCAGUUCUAAAUAGUGGAUGUAAGCAUGCCUUUUCAAGCUUAAGCAUUUGAUUUUUGGCGAUAUGGUGUUCUCUCCUUACAGAUGACCUUCUGCUUUCUUAUUUUUAAAAAUAGACAAGUUGGAUGAAAUUGCCGCCACUCAUGUCGCUACAGGAGUGCGCGCAGGGGGGAGUGGCGGGUCAAGGUGCGCUCAUCGGCGCCGCUGCUGACCGGCAGAUCCAGGCGCACCCUCGGUGCACGCAGGGGGGGUGAUCUACGACGACCUCCUGGGCACGACACCGCUAGAGACGGUGAGAAACACGCACUCCGUCCACCAUUGGUCACCGGCAGUAGCAGGACGAACCGUCGCCGUAGCCGCCAGGCUGAAACAUAAGACGCCUCAACAGCGACUGACGAAGUCGUCGAGGCGACGGCCCGGAGGUGAACUCCAGCGACAGCGUGAACUUGGCCGGCGACCGCAAGGACCCAUCCACGGGGUCCCUUCCUCUCUGAAAACGGCCUAAUUGCUGAUAUCUUGCCUCCCCUCUCCUUCUCCCUCUCUUAAUUUUCAAACAAUUUCGGUAUGGUAUUACUGUUAGGUAACCCUACAAACUUUGUUGGAACCUAAAAAAUAGGUACUCCUGAUGGAUUAGAGUGGUUCUGCCUGAAACAACUUCCAAUGAAUUGUUGAAUUAGCCAAUGUCAUAGUUAGUAAAUCCGUGCCGUUAUAUUCUGUAAUGAGAUCACAUUAUGCCCAUGUUUAGAUGACACUGACCCAAGUUUACUUUCUGAUUCCCUUAAUUUCUCUACCUAAUUCUUGUGGCGGCAUGCUUUCAUCAGUUUCAAUGCGAUGAAGAUGACAGAUCCAACAUGGUAUCCUUUACGGAUGAACAGGAGUUAAGAGGCAUGUGUGCCACCCAGGCCACACAAAGAAGGCCCACUGGUUUUUUGGACAGGAUAAGUGCACUUCAGGCCACCCAGGGUCGGGCUUUCAGCAGAGACACAAGAGGAGAUACCUUUGUGCGAGACUGCUCUCGGUUGAAAAUAUCCAAAGGUUGGUGCCUCAAGCUAAACUUAUCACCUGUGAUUCUUUCCCUUUAAUCCAUUUGCUCCAUGCAACCCCUUCUCUGGACAAGCGAUAGUUAUAGUCGUCAUGGACUCCGAUGAGAUUCUCGACGAAGCGAUACCCGACUGGUUGGAAUUGGCAAUCAUAUGCUUCCAGCGGUAUCACUCGCCAUGAUGAGCUCCACCAUUGGUUCUAACUUUGUGUACUUAUCAAGACUGCCAUCUAACUGUCACCAGCCUUUGUAUAAACGCCUUGCUUUUAGUAUUUUGUGAUGUUCGGCUGUCCUGUAAUGUGCUACUUAGUUUUCGGUCCUUGCUAUGUAACCAACUUACACUAAUUAUUAAUAAUGGUAAUUCAACUUGUGGGAUGCAUUCAUUUCUAUAUAAAUGACUUGCUGUAAUCCUGAUCUAUCAAGAAUUUUGAUGGUUUUUAUUGAACCAUAUCUUACUUUGUACUGCACUUAUAUGAUUUGUAUUGGUUUACAUACUCCCCUGAUAAAUACCAGGCGCUGGAUUAUUGUAUCACUACUUUAGACAUAUUUUUGUAAUGACAAAAUGUGUCAUGUUUGUCAUACUUUUGGUAUAUAUGUUGUCUUGCCGUUUGGCAAUGCCCUGUUUUUUAUGUAAAUUUACUGUAUUGGUCUAAUCCAUUCUGAGCAAUUGCUUUAAUUCCCUAUGUUAACAAACACACUGAAAUUGAUUUUGUCUUAGUCUCAUGCCGAUGUUUAUCAUCAUUGUGUCUUGCUCCUAUCACAACUGAACGUUUCUUCUUCACUAUUUUGUUAUGUUGUAUGAAUGCAUAUACUAAAACUGAAUUCAUAUUAACUUGGCAUUACCUGCCUAACCAAAUGUUGGGACCGGCACCCUUGCGCGUCGGAUUGAAAGUUCCUCACAACACAGACCGUCGGAUCUUGAUCCAAAUCUUUGUGGGUCGUUGGAUAUUUACCCGAUCAACAUUAGCUGUUGGAUAAAAUUCCAAUUGCAACAGAGCGUAAAUACAGUGCCCCCACCGGGGCAUUUUGGUCAUUUCGCGGAGGGGUGGUAUAAAAGGGGUGGCUCCCGUGGGAAAAACCCCUGCUCCCCUCGCGCGCGCCUCCUUUCCCCUCCCGCACGCCUCCUCUCCCCUCCUCCCACCCACAUCGCCGCUGCCGCCACCUACCGCCUCGAACCGCGCCGUCCGCGGCCAGAUCCGCAGCAACAGAGCCCCCCUUCCAACGACGACGAGCAGCAGUGGAGGGAGGACGAGGAGCACGACGGUGGCGGCGGCGGGGAGCAGCAGCGGCAGGCCAAGGCGGCGCAGCAGGCAGCGGAGGGAGGACGAGGAGCACGGCGGCGGUGGUGGCAGGGAGCGGCGUACAACGCCGCCAGGGCCGUGCUGAUGAGUCCUCCUCCUCCUCCUUCCACCCCUGCAACCUCAACCGCCGCCCGGAACCCUACCGAUGGCGCCAUAGAUCAGAUCCUCCUCUCUCCUCCUCUCCCUCGCACUACGCCGGCUGCGCGCUUGAUGCGAUCCGAGCCGUCGGAUCGAGCCCUGGAACGACCUUGUCCAUCGGAUAAAAAAUAGUUACUGCUGGAAUGAACAGUUUCACCUCGACCGUGCCACCGCGCGUAAAUAGCCUGCCCCACCGGGGGCAUUCUCGCCAUUUCGCUUUGUCUGUGGCUGGCGUUCGUGCUAGGGCGAUGAUGAUUAACUGUGGCUGGAAUAAGUGUGCCUUUGAGCAAUCAAGGCACCUGUGGGUAUCAAGUUGGAUCCUCCCUGUUGUCUCUAGAAUCCUUUCUGAUCCUGUGAUACCUAUUGAUCUGUCCUUGGAUGGUCAUUCUUGUUGAGUGAUAACCAGGGCAGCUCCAUUGUGUAAACAGAUUGAUCUGGUGAUAAGAGAUGAUGGGGAUAGGUUAUAUGAUCGAGAAAAGGCGAAUCUGAGCCCACUAUGCAAUAAAACUGCAGCUACCUCCCCUAAUGUGUGUAGUAUUGAAGGCAAAAGAGAACUUUUAAUGUCUUGCUACUUUAAAAUUCCAAAAAGGUGCAUUCUUCCUUUGCUGGUUACUGAUUCUUCAUCUUAAGGUGACCCCAUUUAUAUAGUGGUUCUAUCCAUCUGAUUUGAACUGGGAGAGGGCCACUGAUUCUUGAUCUUAAGGUGACCCCAUUUUUCUAUGCCUCAUGCUCAUGCUGCUCUAUGUUCCCUUUUAAAGAUUCUUGCUUGCAUUUUGGGUUGGUUUUCUGCUCUAUGUUCCCUUUUAGCAUUUCUUUCUGCUGUUGUUGCAUUCCCUUUUUUGUAUAUUACAUGUUCUUUUUGUAUCUCAUUCUGCAUGUAACAUAACUAAAUAAUACAUUGAGAUGAAAGGUUAUAUCUGAUAUCAUUGAGAGGAGCAGGCCAACAUCCCUACCUCCCUCUUCAACUCCCACCCAACACAAUUGUGGUUGGUCCGCUGUCUACAGGUGCUCGUUAUUCUGGCCAGUUUUUCGUGCUCUAUCUUCGACCACCUCUUUGCAGGUUGUCCCCUUCUCCCCCUCUCUUCUAUGCUUUCCAGGCCUAGGCUUACAUUUCUUCCUGUAUGAAGCGGCUGUUAGAUUUUGUUUGGACAAUGGAUGUAUCUGCUUUUUGUUCUCUUAUUGGUAGAAGCCUAGCACGUAAAACUAUUAUCCCCUGCCUUUAUUUUUGUGCUUGCUUGGCAUUUGGAAUUGGGCAUUUUGGUCACUUCUAUAGAUCCUGGUAGUACCUAGCAUUUUGGUCACUUCUAUAGAUCCUGGUUGUGCUCAAAUUUACACGGGGUGGCUGUCUCUCUUCUAUACUUCUAUAGAUCAGGUUUCUCCGCUUAUGUUUAGCCUUUGUUAGGUAUACCUCUUUGCUGUCUUGAUGUGCGCAUGUGCUACCUUCUAAUAUUCAUGCCUCAUUGCAUUCUAAUAUUUUCCUUGCUUGUACUCAGGUUCCAGCUGUUAUUUCAAUGCAUCUUAUUCAUGGAUGCAUGCUUUACAUGCUCUUCGAGCAUAUGUUUGUUCUUGUGUUGCUUUCUCUUAUCUCCUAACUGCCUCUUGAGUGCAGGAAAAUGCCUCAAUUAAUUAGUUUGUCGCUCCGUUAGUCGCCAUGGUCAGAUGAUGCUUCAGGUUUGCACUUCACAUUGAGGAAAACUGGUGUUUAUCUACAUGAGGGACCUGGUUGUAUUACCUACUACAUGCAUCGUUAACUGGGCACCAAAAAACCUAGAUUGUGCAUCUCUGUUUGUUCAUGUGGUGAUUAUCCUAUUGUUUUCGGCAUCAGAUCGAUUGUAAACAGUGGAUGAAUGCAUACCUUUUCAAGCUUAAGCAUUUGAUGUUUGGUGAUGUGGGCCCUAUGCUCCUAUAGCUUGAAUUAGGGUGGUGCCAGUGAUUCACAAGAUCUUCCAUAUUAUCAUUAGCAAGGUGAAGUCAUUCAAGUAUUGGCCACUACUAUCUGCAUUAGCUUCGCCUCAGAAAAUAACCUUUUCACUUGGAAGGAGGAAGUAGGAGUUCUCAGUAAUGGUUAACUACAAGCUACAGUAGAUGUUCUUUGAUUAACAAAGACAAAUGUCCUACUAUUAUCGAUGUUUCCAGAGCUUCGUUCUCAAUUUGUCUGUUAUCUCAUUAUGUUUAUGAGCAGCUCCAAAAUCUGACACUUAUGCUUGCCAGUAUGAAUUUCUUGGCUAUAUUUUAUAGAACUUAUGUCUUGACGCUUUGUACUGAACUUGAUGCAGUCCAAUUCAAGUCAGUUGUCCUGAGCAAGCACUAUGUCUUGCUUUUGAUACACUUUGUGCCUUUAUGCUUUGUAGUAAAGUUCAAGGCCAGUUGUCUUGGGAACAACUAUAACAUGCUUCUGGUAUAUCAUUAAUUUGUAUGCUCUAUGCUAAACUCAGUUAUCUGGGCAGCAACUAUAUUACUUACUGUUUGUGAUCUGUACAAAAUAAAUUUAGCUUGAGUGAUUGCUCUGA